CACUUUCCAUUUCAAGAAACAAUUGCUAUUCUUAUCUUCUUCAUUCUUCACUUUCAAAAAUCUCUACCCAAGUUCAAUCUUCCAUCUCUAGCACUUCCAUUAGCAAAGUCUCAACAUAUAUUUGCUAUAAAGGAUGGGAUAAGGGGAAAGGAAAAGCUUGGUCGAUAAAGCCUUCUGUUGCUAACGCUUCGAGGAAAGUAGACGGAUAAAUGGGAAGUUUUUGGGGACGACUUGAAAGGGAAGAUUUCUCGGUGAGAUGAACUAACAGGCGCCUCACAGUUGACUAUUUUUUCUGUUGUCAUAUUUUGGAACUUGUCAUUGUAUAAAAUAUUUUUGAAGUCCUUGAACAAUUAAUGUAAAUUCUAAAUAUUGUUAUUUCAAAUUACUUAGACCUCGGAUUGGAAAAUGUUUAACUAUCAUUUUGUUGGGAUAAAAACCUUAUGAAUGACAUGUUAUUAUUAUUAUUGAA